ACCUUCAGGUUCCCUUUCCCAUCUGAUCUGAACCCUGGUCUCGGCAGUCGUAAGAGGAGGGACGGUCGAGCUGGAGCUGCCCUCACAGUGCGUGUAGUCUGCUAGACAGCAUGCAGGUUAGUUUCACACGAGG
ensembl:snoRNA